CUGUGCCCACACAGGUGCUGACCAUGCUGGGCUUCCUGGAAACAGGGGCAUUCCAGUGUGAGCUAGCCGAUCAGUCAGGAGCGUGCCAGUCAAGCUUGAGCCGAGCCAUGUCAGAUGUGUGUAACGCAAUCAUCUGAAUGUCAUCAGGCACAUCACAUUCCAACAUUAAAGCAGAAAAUGAGAGCUG